rnacentral:lncRNA from 1 species
CCACAGCUGUCAGCACACAGGGGCCGGCGGCCAGCCCUCCUGGGAACAAUCCUGGUUACGGAAUUCCUUGCGUAGGAGAAAAACAAUAACUUCCAGUUGAACAAGAGCUAAAAGAAGGGAAGAUGUGACGGCAGCUCCAUUGAACAAUUUCUCUAAGUACAGACAGGCACCGCUUUCCACCCUCUGGUCACGUUCCACCUCCCAUUCUCAGGAAUUCUCUGGUAGGUGCACCUUGUUCAGAUAAGAACUGCACAGCAUUUCUUCGUGGGCCCCUGCAAGCCAUCCUUUGCAAUGGCACAGCCUCUAAACUUGGAGUUUUGCGGCCGUGGGGAAAACACCUCUGAAGUGUGGAAUUCUCCUUUGAGUGAGCUAGGUCCUUUCUUUUAAGCGGGACCCAUGGACCAGCAACAGCAGCAUCACCUGGGACCUUGUUAGAAAUGCAGACCCUGGACCCUACCCUACCUGCUGAAACAGAAUUCACCUUUCAAAAGAUGCUCUGGUGAUGAGGAUACACAUUAAAGUUUGAGAAGCCCUGGUCUAGAGAAAUCUUUUUGCUUGAGAAUUAAAGACAGAGCUUAUUCUGGAUAGGAUUUGGCAUUGACUCAGAUUUGAGUCCCAGUACUGCCCAUCACUAGCUCUUUAACCUUGAAAGCCUGUCUUUGUCCCAGACACUGUGCCAGGCAGUGGGAUGCUUUAGCAAGCAAAAAACAGUCCUUCCCUCCAAGGAGUUUAUAAUCAGAGAAGUAAAUGGAUCACUGAAAGUCAUCAUGACGAGAGGAAAAGUCACAUGUUAUGGGAACAUAGAUAAGACGUAUGUAACCCAGUCUUAAGGGCAGGGAUCACUUCCCAAAAGUGAUAUUUAAGCUGAAACCUGAUGGAUGUGUUGUAGUUUU